rnacentral:lncRNA from 1 species
UUCUAAUUCAGUGAUCUCAAAACCUUUCUACUGACGUGCAUUUUUUGUUAGUUUCCAAUUAUUUAACAUACAUUUACCAUUUGAAAAGCUCAAGAAAAGAGGGAAUCUUGGGGGAGGAGAGGAGUGAGAGGGAAGUGAGAGAGAGCAGCCAUUGUUGUUGAAUUGCAGCUCAAGAAAAUUCCGGCGUCUACUCCCACGGUUGCUUCCCUAAAUCUCUCAUUUCACUAUUUAUUAUUAUUAUUAUUAUUAUUUUUCACUUCAUUCCACAGAACUCUUGUAAACAUUGAUUUAUACAGAUCACAAAGUAAAACUGCAAUUGAGAAUUCAAUAAAGACACUAUCAAGAAACCAUAAACUCUAGCAAGCAACAACUGAAAAUACAGCAAUCAUAGAGGCAGUAAUUUCAAUUUUUAUCAGAACAACUGUGGUGGAAAGAAAAUGAUGAAGCCAGGAAUUUAAAUGAUGCACAGGAAAAAAAUGAAUCAAAUCCAGUUGCCCACAUUGUCGGCCCCCCCCAAGUUCCAAAAUGUCAGAUUUCCUCUUCCAGCUUGUCUCCUCUUCUAGCAUCCUUGGAAUAUUUGCAUCAAACUGCCACUUCAGUAGCCACGGUCACCACUACCAUAUCCACCACGACUACCGCCUCCAUAGCCACGGUCACCGGCAUAACCUCCAUCACAUCGCCCGUAGCCUCCAUCACUGCCUCCACCUCCAUAACCUCCCUCACGGCGUCCGCCACGGAAUCCACCGCCUCCACCUCCAUAACCUCCCUCUCAUUUCACGAUGGAAACUAACACAAAAUACAGGUCAAUAGAAAGGUUUCGAGAUCCACUUUUGCCUUGUGCACGUGCAGUAUCCUAUUCAGAUUUAUCCAAAUCCCCCAAUUGACAUGUAAAACUCUUCAAAAUCCUGUGGAGGCGCUGGUUGAAAAAAUUGUCCUCGAAGAUGACCUAUUUGAACAAGGGGUGACUAACUCCAGUUAAAAUAAUUUCAUUUAGCUGCAAUUCAACAAUAAUGGCUGCUCUCACUCCUCUUCUCCCUAAGAUUCCCUCUUUUCUCGAGCUUUUCAAAUGGUAAUGGUAAUGGUAAAUCAGUAAAGAAUAUCAUUAUUCAUCAGUAAAUGUAUGUCAUUAUUCAUCAGUAAAUGUAUGUUAAAUAAAUGAUUGGACUCAUUUGCAACUUUAAUAAAAAUUUUGGGAUUCAUUUGCACUUUUAAAAAGUUAAGGAGUAUGUUAGCAAUUUCUGCUUUAUUUUUCUUUUCUUUUCUUUUUUUUUUCUUUUGUUUUGCUUAAGAAUAAGGGUAUAUUAGUCAUUUUACGCCACAAAACAGUGAAAAUGACUUUUUUGCAAAGAAAGGCGUAAGACAGGGGUGAAAAUGCCAAAAAAUGAAAGGUAGGGACGUUUUCCACAAUCAACUUGAAGGGUGGGGACGUUUUGUGCCAAUUACCCUUGUUGUGACAGAUGGGCGAUUCCUCUUGGCAUUAUAGCUGCAAUUUUGGUGCUUUACUAGCGAUUCUUUGGAAGGAGGAAACACGGUUCUCAUUCAUUGUUACCCAUGUACAAUAAUCAGAAAGAUGGACGAAGAUCAGAAUGAUCAAACUUGCAUUACAUCGACCAUGUACUCCUCUAAAAGUCAAUCUCGAUGGGCUUCUAUUUUUAUACUCAGAGCUCUGCUGGUUUUAAUGUGAAAUAUCUCCUCUUACUUCCAUACACCCUUUCACCCGAAAAUUUGAAGUUUUGAGAAAAAUUUGGAGCCCCAGUGAAUGGUGUUGUGAACUUAUAUCUAGUCAGGACUUUCAAUAAUACAGAGCUAUAUAUAUGUUCUGUGGAUAUCAAGGCAGAAAAAACAGUUUUUGAGACUUGAAAUUGAUCAGAAUAUAGAAACAUGCUUUGAGUUACACUCGUUUGUUUCAUUUUUUCAGCCCAAUUUUUGCAGGUGCUGCUUAAAGUUUUCACAAAAAUAGUGUGUUU